AGGUCCUACCUGCCCAGUGACUAUGUUAAACGGCCGCGGUAUUUUGACCGUGCAAAGGUAGCGCAAUCACUUGUCUUUUAAAUGAAGACCUGUAUGAAUGGUGAAACGAGGGCUUAACUGUCUCCCUUUUCAAGUCAAUGAAAUUGAUCUAUCCGUGCAGAAGCGGGUAUACAAAUACAAGACGAGAAGACCCUUUGGAGCUUAAGACUAAAAAUCAACUAUGUCAAAUAUCUAUUAAAUAAAACUAAAUAGUAACUGAUUAUAAUCUUCGGUUGGGGCGACCACGGAAUAAAAGCAAACUUCCACAUGGACUGAGGACUAGCCUUAAAACUAAGAAAGACAUUUCUAAGUCACAGAAUUUCUGACCAAAAAGAUCCGGCAAAUUGCCGAUCAGUGGACCAAGUUACCCAAGGGAUAACAGCGCAAUCCCCUUUUAGAGUUCUUAUCGACAAGGGGGUUUACGACCUCGAUGUUGGAUCAGGAC
rnacentral:rRNA from 1 species